rnacentral:tRNA from 1 species
UGGCGGCCGGGAAGGCCGACGUCGGCUUCGCCACGGUCGACGCGGCGAUGCUGGCCAGCGACGGGAGCCCGCCGUUCCACCGGCGGCUGCCGG